UAACUUAGUGGCGAACGGGUGAGUAACGCGUGAGUAACCUGCCCUGGAGUGGGGGGACAACAGUUGGAAACGACUGCUAAUACCGCAUAAGCCCACGGCCCGGCAUCGGGCUGCGGGAAAAGGAUUUAUUCGCUUCAGGAUGGACUCGCGUCCAAUUAGCUGGUUGGUGAGGUAACGGCCCACCAAGGCGACGAUUGGUAGCCGGACUGAGAGGUUGAACGGCCACAUUGGGACUGAGACACGGCCCAGACUCCUACGGGAGGCAGCAGUGGGGGAUAUUGCACAAUGGGGGAAACCCUGAUGCAGCGACGCCGCGUGGAGGAAGAAGGUUUUCGGAUUGUAAACUCCUGUCGUUAGGGACGAUAAUGACGGUACCUAACAAGAAAGCACCGGCUAACUACGUGCCAGCAGCCGCGGUAAAACGUAGGGUGCAAGCGUUGUCCGGAAUUACUGGGUGUAAAGGGAGCGCAGGCGGACCGGCAAGUUGGAAGUGAAAACUAUGGGCUCAACCCAUAAAUUGCUUUCAAAACUGCUGGCCUUGAGUAGUGCAGAGGUAGGUGGAAUUCCCGGUGUAGCGGUGGAAUGCGUAGAUAUCGGGAGGAACACCAGUGGCGAAGGCGACCUACUGGGCACCAACUGACGCUGAGGCUCGAAAGCAUGGGUAGCAAACAGGAUUAGAUACCCUGGUAGUCCAUGCCGUAAACGAUGAUUACUAGGUGUUGGAGGAUUGACCCCUUCAGUGCCGCAGUUAACACAAUAAGUAAUCCACCUGGGGAGUACGACCGCAAGGUUGAAACUCAAAGGAAUUGACGGGGGCCCGCACAAGCAGUGGAGUAUGUGGUUUAAUUCGAAGCAACGCGAAGAACCUUACCAGGUCUUGACAUCCGAUGCAUAGUGCAGAGAUGCAUGAAGUCCUUCGGGACAUCGAGACAGGUGGUGCAUGGUUGUCGUCAGCUCGUGUCGUGAGAUGUUGGGUUAAGUCCCGCAACGAGCGCAACCCUUAUUGCCAGUUACUACGCAAGAGGACUCUGGCGAGACUGCCGUUGACAAAACGGAGGAAGGUGGGGAUGACGUCAAAUCAUCAUGCCCUUUAUGACCUGGGCUACACACGUACUACAAUGGCGUUUAACAAAGAGAAGCAAGACCGCGAGGUGGAGCAAAACUCAAAAACAACGUCUCAGUUCAGAUUGCAGGCUGCAACUCGCCUGCAUGAAGUCGGAAUUGCUAGUAAUCGCGGAUCAGCAUGCCGCGGUGAAUACGUUCCCGGGCCUUGCACACACCGCCCGUCA
rnacentral:rRNA from 1 species